rnacentral:rRNA from 1 species
CCUACGGGUGGCACCAGUAGGGAACCUUCGGCAAUGGGGGCAACCCUGACCGAGCAACGCCGCGUGAGUGAAGAAGGUUUUCGGAUCGUAAAACUCUGUUGUUAGAGAAGAAUGUGUAGGAGAGUAAAAAGUUCUUACAGUGACGGUAUCUAACCAGAAAGGGACGGCUAACUACGUGCCAGCAGUCGCGGUAAUACGUAGGUCCCAAGCGUUGUCCGGAUUUACUGGGCGUAAAGCGCGCGCAGGCGGUUCCUUAAGUCUGAUGUGAAAGCCCACGGCUCAACCGUGGAGGGUCAUUGGAAACUGGGGGACUUGAGUGCAGAAGAGGAGAGCGGAAUUCCACGUGUAGCGGUGAAAUGCGUAGAGAUGUGGAGGAACACCAGUGGCGAAGGCGGCUCUCUGGUCUGUAACUGACGCUGAGGCGCGAAAGCGUGGGGAGCAAACAGGAUUAGAUACCCCCGUAGUC